GAUGAACGCUGGCGGCGUGCCUAAUACAUGCAAGUCGAGCGAACAGACGAGGAGCUUGCUCCUCUGACGUUAGCGGCGGACGGGUGAGUAACACGUGGAUAACCUACCUAUAAGACUGGGAUAACUUCGGGAAACCGGAGCUAAUACCGGAUAAUAUAUUGAACCGCAUGGUUCAAUAGUGAAAGACGGUUUUGCUGUCACUUAUAGAUGGAUCCGCGCCGCAUUAGCUAGUUGGUAAGGUAACGGCUUACCAAGGCGACGAUGCGUAGCCGACCUGAGAGGGUGAUCGGCCAAAAUGGAACUGAGACACGGUCCAGACUCCUACGGGAGGCAGCCGUAGGGAAUCUUCCGCCAUGGGCCAAAGCCUGACGGAGCAACGCCGCGUGAGUGAUGAAGGUCUUCGGAUCGUAAAACUCUGUUAUUAGGGAAGAACAAAUGUGUAAGUAACUAUGCACGUCUUGACGGUACCUAAUCAGAAAGCCACGGCUAACUACGUG
rnacentral:rRNA from 1 species